GUCCCUGUAGCACAAUAUAUAGUGCGUUGGAUCGAGUCCAAAGAUCGGGGUUCGAAUCCCUCCUGUGAUG